AUGGUGGUGGUGGCGCGGGUGGCCGGUGGGUUGCUGCGCGCCCUCCUCUUCGGCGUCUUCGGGGCGGCCGGGACGGUGGUCGGCGCCGCGUACGGCCUCCUGUCUGGCUUCGUCGACGACGAGGACGGCUUCGCGCAGGGGACGCUGCUGGGGGCGCUCGCCGGAGCGCUCAUGUCCCUCGACCUCGUCCACUCCCUAAUGGCCAUAUGGGGUCACCGCCGCCAUGACGACCACUGCUCCCCCUUGGACGCUCACGCCGGGCGAAUCAAGCGCACCAUCGGCGCCGUUGUCCAACUCACGGCUCUCGCCGACCCGCAGUACUGCGGAAGACGAGGCGACAGCGCCGUCGUGGGCCUCGACCGGCCGGCAAGAUCGUCAAGCUUCGGCUUCUUUCCGCCGGUGGCCGUCGGUGCUGCAAGUGGCGGCUGCUGCCCCAUCUGCCUCCAGGAGUUCGAGGCCGGCGGCGAGCGCGCGGGGCGGCGGCUCCCGGCGUGCUCCCACGUCUUUCAUCUCGAGUGCAUCCGUAGCUGGCUCCUCCGCAAGCCCGACUGCCCCAUGUGCCGUCACGCCGUCCACUAG
rnacentral:rRNA from 1 species